rnacentral:rRNA from 1 species
UGCGUAGGCGGAUCAGUAAGUCAGUGGUGAAAUCUCUCGGCUCAACCGGGAAACUGCCAUUGAUACUGUUGAUCUUGAGUUCGGUAGAGGUAGGCGGAAUGUGUAAUGUAGCGGUGAAAUGCUUAGAUAUUACACAGAACACCAAUUGCGUAGGCAGCUUAUUAUGCCGACACUGACGCUGAGGCACGAAAGCGUGGGGAGCGAACAGGAUUAGAUACCCUGGUAGUCC